rnacentral:rRNA from 1 species
AUUGAACGCUGGCGGCAGGCCUAACACAUGCAAGUCGAGCGGAUGAAGGGAGCUUGCUCCUGGAUUCAGCGGCGGACGGGUGAGUAAUGCCUAGGAAUCUGCCUGGUAGUGGGGGAUAACGUCCGGAAACGGGCGCUAAUACCGCAUACGUCCUGAGGGAGAAAGUGGGGGAUCUUCGGACCUCACGCUAUCAGAUGAGCCUAGGUCGGAUUAGCUAGUUGGUGGGGUAAAGGCCUACCAAGGCGACGAUCCGUAACUGGUCUGAGAGGACGAUCAGUCACACUGGAACUGAGACACGGUCCAGACUCCUACGGGAGGCAGCAGUGGGGAAUAUUGGACAAUGGGCGAAAGCCUGAUCCAGCCAUGCCGCGUGUGUGAAGAAGGUCUUCGGAUUGUAAAGCACUUUAAGUUGGGAGGAAAGGCAGUAAGUUAAUACCUUGCUGUUUUGACGUUACCAACAGAAUAAGCACCGGCCAACUUCGUG